GCUUGUUUUAUUUGUUUGUUGUUUUGUUUUGUUUUCUCCCUAGCUUGUGUAAUAGAUACUGCUAAUGCAUUUUUGGUGAUGAAAGUAAAAUUACUUCUGCAAAAGCAGAAAUGAGUGAAUUAGAAAUAUAAAAAAUGAGACGCAUCUUUCAUCCACUGUGGCAAAAUUGUCAUUUUUCUAUCUUGAAAAGGUUAUUUUUUUUAAACAAAAAUAAUGUAAAAUAAUUUAUAGCUGAGUUUCUUGCAUCCCUCACUUUUAGCCAGUUAAUGAAUUGACACAGUAUUGUUUUAAAUAUGUUUUCAAUGUCAUUUCAAUAAGAUCCAGCCUCCAAAAGAAGUGGGUAAGAAAAUAUUAAUUCAUAAAAAUUUUGGUGAUUGUCUUUAGAAGCUGUUGGACAUGUACAGAAAACCUGUAGAGAAGCUUAAUGCCUUUUUUCAGUGAAGAACAAAGGUGCGAGAUUGAAUAUUUCUCCACCUGUUUUGAGAUGGGCUCCAUAAGUCCUCGCUCACAUGCACAGAUCUUACAUGAAUACAUACAGGGCUGUUCUUAAGAGGAAGCUAACUCUAUUUAGAAUAUUCUGAUAAUGCUGUGGUAGCCAAACUUGUAUCUUGGAGCAGUUAUAUAUCUGAUUGGUAUUCACAGACAAAUUAGAUGUUCCUUUUGCAGCAUUUCUAGAGGCCUUACUGCAUUCUGUGUUGUCCUGUGCUCAGCUACACUAAAUCUAACUGUAAAAAUGUAAGAGCAAUGUACUUGGACCUUUUUCAGAUUUGGCAAAAAUACUUUCAGUUGUGAUUUUUUUCUUUUCCUGUAAUCCUACAUCUUUCUUUGGUUCUUUGAAUCACUUUUUGUGAACUUUGUCUCGUUGUCUGUCAGUAGAGUUGUCUGCUGCCUUGGUCUGAAUUACCAUCUUUUGACCUUUCCAUGCUGGUCCUGGACUAGAUAUUGAUAGAGAUUUAUAAUAUGAGAGCUGCUGUCAGAGUUUUCCAGAGCCUGGAGUGCAUAGCCAUUCCAGGUUGGCACUGCUCAGGUUUAGCACCUAAGGGGUAUUAUCCUUGUGGCCUCUUGCCAUCAAACCUUGUGUUAAAUCUUGUUCCCAACAGAUUGAGCCCUGCAGAAGUCUGACAGACUGUUUUAGGUAUGGCUAUAAAAUCAGUCUGCCAAAUGCAAGUCCAUGAUAUUUAGCUAAGCUGAUGUUAGAGGAUUAUAAACCUGCAGCCUUGUCACCAUUUUAUGAUUACUUAAGGUAUGUCACCAAAUGACUGAAAUUGGCCUAACCUUGUCUUCCUUAAAACCAUGUGCUGCUUUUUUGACAUUAGCUGUGGAAUUGACCAAAACAUCCCUAUCUUCAGCUUUUACUUGUAGAAGCUACUCAGUGCCUGAGUGCAGUGAAUGCUUUGCUCUUUCAUUAGGUGAAUUCAGGAUGGGUUUGCCUUGUCUUUUCCUUUCCCAUAAGUACUUUUCUUUUCACUUCACUUCUGGAGUCCUUGUAGUGUUUAGAUUCUACAGCAGGGACAGUACUAGGAUGAAGCUCUGUACUGUGCACUUCAUAUCAGCAAUGUUUAAGGCAUGAGGGGUUGAGUGUGGAUGUAACCUCUAGUACAAUGUAGGGAGAUGUUAUCUGACCUUGGGCAAUGAGAGUGCGUAUAUCCACAGUAUGACUGUUCAGAUGGGCAGUGCAUCUUGAAAUCAGAUAAUGAUGAGUAAUGUCUUUAUGAAGGUUAUGAACCUCAGUAUGAAGAUAGUUCAUGAUCUUCUUUUGCCAACGGAAUACAUGGUUGAUACUUGUUGAAACCAUUAGACUUAACAGUUGCAUACCUAAGAGGAAAGAAUCCAAAAGGACAUUAUAAGAUCUAAGUCUCUUUGCCAUUGCUAGGGACAUAACCCUUACACUCUUUAACCAGACGCUUAAUGUGUUAUGCUUCCCCUUCCCCUUUGUGUUCCUGAGUUGCUUCUGUGGAUUGUUUUCAGUCUUUGUGCCAGACAGCCCUUGAAGUAAUGAUGUUAAAGGUAGCAUUGCUCAUCACUGAUGUCAGAAAGUAAUUUUUUUGCCAAGUCUGUUUCAGUCAGCAUUUACAUAUGAUAGCAUCAAAAGGUACUGGUAUUUUAGUUAACAGAAGAAUAUUCAAUUUGAAAACAAUGCAAAGGGAAAUGUGCGUUUUUAUAAAUGUUAGAAAUCAUUAAAACAAUUUUGAUCCACAAGUUGGAAAUAUUUUAUUUCAGUCUUAGUCAUAGAAAACAAACCUAAAACAAAAUAAUUGCAGACAUUUUAAAGAAAAAUGUGUAGGUUAUACAUUAUGCAACCUUUGGAUAUAUGUGGAAACUCAGCAAAAAGCAAUUAAAUUGAACUGUUUAAAAUGGAUAUAAAUGUAAAUGAACAAGCAAAUUGGUUUUGGUUUGAUCCAGUUUUAAAAUGCUACUGUCUUCUCUUCCCUCACCUCUAUCCCCCAUUUAGUCUCUUGCCUGAAUUAUUGGGAACAAAAUGAUUUCAUCUGUCAUGUUGUAAACUUCAGUCUAAAAGAGUAUGGUUUUCUCUUUUUCUUGUGUGUUUCUACUGAAUAAGUGGCUUUAAAUGAAUAUAGUGUUUUUUAAUCUUGAGUACUGGAUUACUGCCUGAUUGUAGGUGCCUGACCCAUUGUGUACUGAAAGGAAACUCAUAAACUGUUCACCUUGUACUUCUUUGUGUUGUACUCAAAAUGUUCUUUCUGAUACACAGAGUAUUGUAUCAGAUUUCAGCUCUUGCGAACUUUGUAAUGUUUUGAAAAGUUAGCAUAUUUUGUAAGCAUUUAACCUGAUCUGUCUUUCCUUGAAGCUUAGGUUUAGGAUGAUGUCAGCUGUGACACAAAAUAGAUCAUACUCUUCAGAUUCUGGAGACUUUCUAGAUCUCAAUCUCAAAUACCUAUCUGAUAAUAUUAGUAUUUGGUUUUUAGAUUGGGAAGAAGGUUCGUAUGUCCUGUUUACAUGAGCCAUUUAAAUGUCAUUUAAAGAAUAAUUGUUUCCAUUUCAGGGAAUGCCCUCAAUUGUUCUAUUUCCUGAAAAGUGGUUCAGUUUACCAUGACAAUUGAACAAUCACAUAGUAAAUGUUGACAAGAUCCUGUCUCUGUUUCCUAUAAACAUUGUUUCUUCAAGAUAAUCUGAGCCAACAUCUGGUCUUUUUGAUAGUAGUGCAUCUUAAUAGCAGUUAAAAACUUUCUCUAAAGAAAGGAAUGUUUCCCAGACAAGGAAUCAUUCAGGAGUGAAAGCUUCUUUAAUAUUUGGUAUUUAAAAAUCCCUUCAGUGUGAACACAGAAAAACAGAAAACUUUCUUUAACUUUUAUAAUAUUCAGCAUUCAUCAUGUUUUUCUCUUCUUUGUCAUCUAUUCUUACCUUUACUUCUCAUACCAGAUACCUUUUGGGUCUGAGAACAAAGCUGGGAAGGGAAUAAUACCAGAAUUUUAGAUAUGAGUCAGGGUCUAUUCUUGUGCAUGCAGAAUAUAGAAAUAAGGCUUUUUCAAUGCAGUUUGCUUUGAAAAACACAAGAUCUGUUACUGUCAUAUGAUUUAUGUUUGUCAUUCUCUUCUGAGUUUAGAGAUGCUUCAUCACCCAGAACUUGACAUCGUAGUGUUUUCCCUUUGCUUCAGGAUUUGUUUCUGUUAAAGACUUAACAGGAACAACAUAAAUAUUGAACUAUUUCUUAGCGUGUAGGUGUAUAACUAUUUCUUAACCCAUCCUCAUUACUGAUGGUUUAGAACCAAGGGCUGGGGAAAGCUGUGUGUGCUCUAAUACAUCAUCAGAAAAAGGGAUCAAAUUAUUACUGGAUGGAAGAGUUUCUUCAGCUGUGCUAGGCUUAAAGAAGAUUCAGCUGUUCUUUAAUUUUUGUUGUCAUAUUGAAAUAUUGAUACACUCCAACACUGUUUUUCUUGAUAUGUAAAUAUAUAUAUAUAAAGAGUGUUUAUUAAACUAAAUCAAUUUAGAAA